CUGAGGCAGAGAGAAAUCAAGAUGAAGCAGUUUGCCCAAGAUCACAGAAACUGAUGGAUUCAGGAUUUGCUCCCAGAAACAAAAUAGGAAUGAUUACAUUUGCCAUCACCAUGGAUGGAAGAUCAGUGACAUGACAUUUGACCAUCUGUUUACAGUUUUUAAGUGGAUGCUGCUAAAUGGAGUCUGGAAGCUCCAAGCAUACUUCAGUGAGGGCAAACCACAGUAGGAGACCAUGGAACCAGUGGCUCAUUACAUCCUUCGAGUACCCCUUAGCUUUUAGAGGAUCCUGCCUGUGGUGAGUGUGCUCAGCUCUGACAUUUGGGCAAAGAUUCAGGAGAAGGGACAGGGGACUCUCACAGCCCCUUGACUUGGCAUCCAAUGAGGCCUGGGUCAGAAACGUACAGAUUUGCAACAUCUCCUUUAAGUUCUGAUGAUUUUGUUUUGUGUGUGUGUGUGUGUGUGUGUGUGUGUGUGUGUGUUAAGACUUAUCUAUUUAUUUUGAAAGAGUUCGGGAAAGGAAAAGACAGAGAGAUCUUCCAUCUGUGGGUUCACUCCCUAGAUGGGUACAAUGGCCUGCACUGGGGCCAGGUAGAAGCUAGGAGCCAGGAGCUCCAUGUAGGCCUCCACGUGGGUAGUAGAAGCCCAGGCAUUUGAGCCAUCAUCCACAGCUUUCACAGACCCUUAGCAGCUGGCUGUAUGAUCAGUGGAGGAGCCAAGGCAUGGCAGUGUCACAGGCAGUGACCUCACCCACUCUGCCACAAUGCCAGCCCCCUGCUGUGGUUUUGUAAAACUGGAAUUAUUUUUUUCCUUGAUCCCCAAAACCCACAGUAAGGUCUGUUCCACCUAGGACAGUCGCUGUUAUGUGGUGGAUUUACAGAUAUUUGUUGAAUAAAAGGGUGAAUGAACAAUGAGUACUAUUUCUGUCCAAAAGCAUGGUUCAAGUUUGCAACUUUAACAUUGAGAAAAGGACUCUCCUGAGAGAGCACUGGCCCUCAUUAUUGUGAGGCAGCCACCUUGCUGUCACUUGGGUUAGAGGAGGAUGUGGCAUGCUUGCUUAGGGGCAAGUCUUGGAGUCCAGACAAGCUCAUUAGCAUAUCAGCAUUUGGAAGGAAGAAGGGAAAAGGAAGUGUGAAGAGACGGUGGAACUUAGGGACCUUACACUCCUCAGUCACAUCUUUCAGAAGCAGUUCUAGUUUUGUUGCUCCGUAACCUUAAGUUCAUAAUUUUUCUCUGAGCCUUGAUCUCUAGACAACUUACAUGGGUUGAGAUGUGCUGAACACAGAGGGGAUUUCCAUGCAGUAAUCACAGUGACACACAUAUGCUGAGCCCUUCCUCUGGGCCUGGCCCUGACGUCAGCACUUUGCCUGUGUUUUCUCUGCAUAUGCCCUCUAGGAUGCCAGACCACACUUCUAACACAGGUUGCCUUCCAGGAAUGUGAGUGCUAUGUUUGCACUCAGAAUCAUCUAAAUAAAAUACUGUAAAUACAUUUACAUUUCACAUACAAUACAUGUUUGCCCAAAGAUAAGUAAAGGUAAAAAUCCAAGGUCCACCCUAUUUUGCAAUGUCUAUCUCAAAUGUCAGAUAUUCACCAAGUCACUGAGUUAUCAGACCUACUAUAACUGAUGAGUAGAGGCCAAUAAAAAACCAAGAGGCUGCCAUUGCAGUGUGGUGGGCAGAGCCACCACAUGCAAUCCCAACAUCCCGUAUAAGUGCCAGCUCAAGUCCUAGCUGUUCCACUUCUGAUCCAGUUCCCUGCUCAUGUGCCUGAGAAAACAGUUGAAGAGGGCCCAAUUUCUUGGGUUCCUGCACCUAGGUGGCAAACCUGGGGGAAGCUCCUGGCUCCUGGCUUCGGUCUGCUCAGCCCUGCCUUCCAAAUAAAUAAAAUAAAUCUUUUUUUUUUUUUUAAAAACUGA